rnacentral:rRNA from 1 species
GAUGAACGCUGGCGGCGUGCCUAAUACAUGCAAGUCGAGCGAACAGACGAGGAGCUUGCUCCUCUGACGUUAGCGGCGGACGGGUGAGUAACACGUGGAUAACCUACCUAUAAGACUGGGAUAACUUCGGGAAACCGGAGCUAAUACCGGAUAAUAUAUUGAACCGCAUGGUUCAAUAGUGAAAGACGGUUUUGCUGUCACUUAUAGAUGGAUCCGCGCCGCAUUAGCUAGUUGGUAAGGUAACGGCUUACCAAGGCGACGAUGCGUAGCCGACCUGAGAGGGUGAUCGGCCGCACUGGAACUGAGACACGGUCCAGACUCCUACGGGAGGCAGCAGUAGGGAAUCUUCCGCAAUGGGCGAAAGCUUGACGGAGCAACGCCGCGUGAGUGAUGAAGGUCUUCGGAUCGUAAAACUCUGUUAUUAGGGAAGAACAAAUGUGUAAGUAACUAUGCACGUCUUGACGGUACCUAAUCAGAAAGCCACGGCUAACUACGUG